GACGAACGCUGGCAGCGUGCCUAAUACAUGCAAGUCGAGCGGACAGAAGGGAGCUUGCUCCCGGAAGUUAGCGGCGGACGGGUGAGUAACACGUGGGCAACCUACCCUGUAGAUCGGGAUAACAUCGAGAAAUCGGUGCUAAUACCGGAUAAUCAUUUGAAGUGCAUGCUUCGAACGUAAAAGAUGGCUCCGGCUAUCACUACGGGAUGGGCCCGCGGCGCAUUAGCUAGUUGGUAAGGUAAUGGCUUACCAAGGGAACGAUGCGUAGCCGACCUGAGAGGGUGAUGGGCCACACUGGUACUGAGACACGGCCCAGACUCCUACGGGAGGCAGCAGUAGGGAAUCUUCCGCAAUGGACGAAAGUCUGACGGAGCAACGCCGCGUGAGUGAUGAAGGUUUUCGGAUCGUAAAGCUCUGUCGUUAGGGAAGAACAAGUGCCGUUUGAAUAAGGCGGCACCUUGACGGUACCUAACCAGAAAGCCACGGCUAACUACGUGCCAGCCGCCGCCGUAAAAC
rnacentral:rRNA from 1 species